rnacentral:rRNA from 1 species
GGCGAACCGUGCGAACGUUGUUCGGAAUCACUGGGCUUAAAGGGCGCGUAGGCGGGCCACCAAGUCUGGGGUGAAAUCUUUCGGCUCAACCGGAAAACAGCCCCAGAUACUGGUAGUCUCGAGGGAGGUAGGGGCAGUUGGAACUUCCGGUGGAGCGGUGAAAUGCGUUGACAUCGGAAGGAACGCCGGUGGCGAAAGCGAACUGCUGGACCUCUUCUGACGCUGAGGCGCGAAAGCCAGGGGAGCAAACGGG